rnacentral:rRNA from 1 species
UACGUAGGGGGGCGAGCGUUGUCCGGAAUUAUUGGGCGUAAAGAGCUCGUAGGCGGUCUGUCGCGUCGGAUGUGAAAGCCCCGGGGCUUAACCCCGGGUCUGCAUUGAUACGGGCAGACUAGAGUGUGGUAGGGGAGAUCGGAAUUCCUGGUGUAGCGGUGAAAUGCGCAGAUAUCAGGAGGAACACCCGGUGGGCGAAAGGGCGGGAUCUCUGGGCCCAUUUACUGACGCUGAGGGAGCGAAAGCGUGGGAGCGAACAGG